rnacentral:rRNA from 1 species
UACGGAGGGUGCAAGCGUUAAUCGGAAUUACUGGGCGUAAAGCGUGCGUAGGCGGUUCGUUAAGUCAGAUGUGAAAGCCCUGGGCUCAACCUGGGAACGGCAUUUGAAACUGGCGGACUAGAGUUUAGUAGAGGGGAGUGGAAUUUCAGGUGUAGCGGUGAAAUGCGUAGAUAUCUGAAGGAACACCAGUGGCGAAGGCGACUCCCUGGACUAGAACUGACGCUGAGGUACGAAAGCGUGGGUAGCAAACAGG